rnacentral:rRNA from 1 species
GACGAACGCUGGCGGCGUGCCUAAUACAUGCAAGUUGAGCGCUGAAGGUUGGUACUUGUACCGACUGGAUGAGCAGCGAACGGGUGAGUAACGCGUGGGGAAUCUGCCUUUGAGCGGGGGACAACAUUUGGAAACGAAUGCUAAUACCGCAUAAAAACUUUAAACACAAGUUUUAAGUUUGAAAGAUGCAAUUGCAUCACUCAAAGAUGAUCCCGCGUUGUAUUAGCUAGUUGGUGAGGUAAAGGCUCACCAAGGCGAUGAUACAUAGCCGACCUGAGAGGGUGAUCGGCCACAUUAGGACUGAGACACGGCCCAAACUCCUACGGGAGGCAGCAGUAGGGAAUCUUCGGCAAUGGACGAAAGUCUGACCGAGCAACGCCGCGUGAGUGAAGAAGGGUUUCGGAUCGUAAAACUCUGUUGGUAGAGAAGAACGUUGGUGAGAGUGGAAAGCUCAUCAAGUGACGGUAACUACCCAGAAAGGGACGGCUAACUACGUG